ACUAACCUUUUUGUUCAAGAUUUUAAUGACGUUUUCUUUGGCGUGGUUGUAUGCUGGAAGAUGUUUUAGUUGAGCUUCAAUAUCUAUGGAAAUGAGAUGAGUAGAGUUUUAUAUAUUUGGUGUUCUUCCGUUGGCUUGUAUCGUUUUCUAGGCAGUUUGAUUCGAAGAAAUUUGGGAAUGAUAUCGUUCAUUGAUUGCAUUGAUGGCAGUUUGGAGUAGAUUGCACGUGGUGUCAAUUGAUCUCCCAGCACAAAGAAGCACAAGAUCAUCUGCGUACAGGCUUUUGUACUUUACUGUACCGGUGUCUGUAAUUCUGACGAUUAUCAACAUAAGCAAUCUCUGGACGACCACCAUCAGCCAGCUCCAAAGAUCGGGAGACACCGUUUGUGCCAUCGUUUUCGUUUCCCUAUCUAAUCGUUCCUUUCACUAUUCUGUACUUCCCCUACCGCUUAAAUUUCGUUCCUCCACUCCUCUCCGCCCUAUUUUCUCCUUAUUCUCUACUUAGGUAAUAAAUGCCGACUUCACCAUAUUUCCUACCUUUCUUACAUUAACUGUGUGAUUAAAUGGGCGGCCAUGAUGGCAUCAAAAUAAUGCUAUAUUAAUAUAUACGAUUCCUGU